UACGGAGGGGGCUAGCGUUGUUCGGAAUUACUGGGCGUAAAGCGCUCGUAGGCGGACCUGCAAGUCGGGGGUGAAAGCCCGAGGCUCAACCUCGGAACUGCCUUCGAUACUGCAGGUCUCGAGUCCGGGAGAGGUGAGUGGAAUUCCUAGUGUAGAGGUGAAAUUCGUAGAUAUUAGGAAGAACACCAGUGGCGAAGGCGGCUCACUGGCCCGGUACUGACGCUGAGGCGCGAAAGCGUGGGGAGCAAACAGG
rnacentral:rRNA from 1 species